UAGGGAAUCUUCGGCAAUGGACGAAAGUCUGACCGAGCAACGCCGCGUGAGUGAAGAAGGUCUUCGGAUUGUAAAACUCUGUUGUUAGAGAAGAACAAGGACGUUAGUAACUGAACGUCCCCUGACGGUAUCUAACCAGAAAGCCACGGCUAACUACGUGCCAGCAGCCGCGGUAAUACGUAGGUGGCAAGCGUUGUCCGGAUUUAUUGGGCGUAAAGCGAGCGCAGGCGGUUUCUUAAGUCUGAUGUGAAAGCUCCCGGCUCAACCGGGGAGGGGCAUUGGAAACUGGGAGACUUGAGUGCAGAAGAGGAGAGUGGAAUUCCAUGUGUAGCGGUGAAAUGCGUAGAUAUAUGGAGGAACACCAGUGGCGAAGGCGGCUCUCUGGUCUGUAACUGACGCUGAGGCUCGAAAGCGUGGGGAGCAAACAGG
rnacentral:rRNA from 1 species